rnacentral:rRNA from 1 species
CGGAGGGGGGACGCGGAGGACAUUACCGAGUUUACAAACUCCCAAACCCUUUGUGAACCUUACCAUAUUGUUGCUUCGGCGGGACCGCCCCGGCGCCUUCGGGCCCGGAACCAGGCGCCCGCCGGAGGCCCCAAACUCUUAUGUCUUUAGUGGUUUUCUCCUCUGAGUGACACAUAAACAAAUAAAUAAAAACUUUCAACAACGGAUCUCUUGGUUCUGGCAUCGAUGAAGAACGCAGCGAAAUGCGAUAAGUAAUGUGAAUUGCAGAAUUCAGUGAAUCAUCGAAUCUUUGAACGCACAUUGCGCCCGCCAGUAUUCUGGCGGGCAUGCCUGUUCGAGCGUCAUUUCAACCCUCAGGCCCCCAGUGCCUGGUGUUGGGGAUCGGCCCAGCCUUCUCGCAAGGCCGCCGGCCCCGAAAUCUAGUGGCGGUCUCGCUGUAGUCCUCCUCUGCGUAGUAGCACAACCUCGCAGUUGGAACGCGGCGGUGGCCAUGCCGUUAAACACCCCACUUCUGAAAGUUGACCUCGGAUCAGGUAGGAAUACCCGCUGAACUUAAGCAUAUCAAUAAGCGGAGGAAAUCAUCGACGUCACCACAAUUUUGACAGAUGCCAAGACUGAAAAAGCAAGGCUUCCUGCUGAACUUGUUGUAACUUUUUUUUUACUA